AAAUAUUUAAACUGUGAGCACACAGUUUGUGAUUUAUGUUUGAUUAAAAAUUUAUUCAUUUUUAAGUUGAACAUUAAAUGAUAUAAUUUAGUUCAUUAACUCAAAACUUGUCAAUUAAGUAAACAAUGAUAACUCUUUAACGAUUGAUUUUUUUAAAUAACCUCAUUAAAUUUAAAGAUUGAACAUAAAUUGUGAACAUCGUUCAGAUAGUAAUGUUAAAGAUGGAAAAGUUCAAUUCAAUACAAGAUAAAGAAAUGUCGAAGAAAUCAAAGCCAAAUUAUGAAUUAUCGAAUUGAUUUUUACAACAAUCUAUAAAGGUUUUUUCAGGUCCAUUAGUAUGUUACUAUUUUUGGAUUCAUUGCCAAUCAAUCAAGUAGUAAUCAAUUUAACUAUUAACAAAUAAACUACUUCAGGGGCUGUAGAUUUUGGUAAUUCAUAUUUAGUUAGGUUUUGGUAAUUCAUAUCUUGAUUCUAAAAGCCUGAGGGCUGUUGAAUGCAACGAAAUAAACAAUGCCAAAAAUGCAAAUGAUUUUGGCGGUGUACAUCCUGAUUUAAAAUGCCCAAGUACCUUUUUAUUGAAUUAGAAAUAUAAUACUUUUCAUAUAAUAAAUUUAAAUUAGUUUUUUCGUUCUCUGAAAUUAAAAGUUGAAAUUUAGUUACUAUCUGGAAGUCCAUACACUUGCAAUCGGUAUGUAUACAUUAGUAUGUAUACCUAGUCAGUAACCUAUCUAUGUUGUGACUUGUUAGAUUGCUAUUAUUGAUAUGUGAAAAUUUAAUUUAUAUUUUUUUUUUUAGAUGCUGCCCACAGUUAUUUAUCACAGUUAAUUAUCGGUUAAUAAAAAACGUUGGAAUUUCACUCGAUUCAAUUUAUUUGAUAAUUCAACUGAUUCAGAAUAAUUUAUUUAAAAGAAAUAUAUAAUUUUAUUUUA